rnacentral:rRNA from 1 species
AUUGAACGCUAGCGGCAUGCCUUACACAUGCAAGUCGAACGAGUGGCGGACGGGUGAGUAAUAUAUCGGAAUCUUCCCAAUAGCGGGGGAUAACUACUCGAAAGGGUCGCUAAUACCGCAUACUAUCUGAUCCGCCCAUAUCGGAUUAGCUAGUUGGUUGGGUAAAGGCUCACCAAGGCAACGAUCCGUAGCUGGUUUGAGAGGACGACCAGCCACACUGGGACUGAGACACGGCCCAGACUCCUACGGGAGGCAGCAGUGGGGAAUUUUGGACAAUGGGGGAAAGCCUGAUGCAGCCAUCCCGCGUGUAUGAGAAGGCCUUCGGGUUGUAAAGUACUUUUGGCAGAGAAGCGGUAUCUGCAGAAUAAGCACCGGCUAACUACGUGCCAGCAGCCGCGGUAAUAC